GAUGAACGCUGGCGGCGUGCUUAACACAUGCAAGUCGAACGGUGAAGCUCAGCUUGCUGGGUGGAUCAGUGGCGAACGGGUGAGUAACACGUGAGCAAUCUGCCCCGGACUCUGGGAUAAGCGUUGGAAACGACGUCUAAUACCGGAUAUGAAGCGUGGAGGCAUCUUCUGCGUUUGGAAAGAUUUUUUGGUUUGGGAUGAGCUCGCGGCCUAUCAGCUUGUUGGUGAGGUAAUGGCUUACCAAGGCGACGACGGGUAGCCGGCCUGAGAGGGUGACCGGCCACACUGGGACUGAGACACGGCCCAGACUCCUACGGGAGGCAGCAGUGGGGAAUAUUGCACAAUGGGCGCAAGCCUGAUGCAGCAACGCCGCGUGAGGGAUGACGGCCUUCGGGUUGUAAACCUCUUUUAGUAGGGAAGAAGCGUAAGUGACGGUACCUGCAGAAAAAGCACCGGCUAACUACGUGCCAGCAGCCGCGGUAAAAC
rnacentral:rRNA from 1 species